UUGCAACACCAAUUCCUUCAGCUUUCACUUUCGGCCCUUAUGACGCUCUCCUACUCCAAGCAAGAGGUCGGUCCAGAUUCGUGCCCGUUAAAGCAGACAGGAAGGAAGAAGGCUCCGCCUCAUCAAGGUCUUUAUUCAGUGAGGCAGUGCCUCUGAGUUGGACGCCAUGGUGCCGUGGAGGCUGGAGGCGCGACUGGCAGAGACGGUGAGGGCAGCGCUCCUCGGCUGGCUCUUCUUCUGCAUCACCGUCGCCAGCAAUGUCGCACAUGCGCUCAGAAGCAGCGAUCUCUCCAUCUAAGGCCGGCCACGUUCAACAUCGCCGGCUGCCUUUUCAACUCUGCGCCUGCAAAGUGGCAGUUCAUUGGACACGCAGGAAGAAAAUUGAUUUACAGCAGUGUAACCAGACAGUGAGUUCAUCCAUGAGAGAAUGAGUUCAAUGUAAAGGUGAAAUAUUCAUAUAGAUUAGAUGUAAAAUCUUGUAUCAAACAGAGAAAUACUGGCUAUUGCUCAAA